GGAUCUUCUGGUCAAGCAAAGAAAAGGGACCAGGGAUCUGGAGACAAUCGUAGGGCGAUGAUGUGGCUCUGAGAAGCCAGCCUCCCAGGAGAGGGGCUGCUGAAGAUGGAGGACAGUCAACGAACGGGCAGGCUGAAUGCAGUUCAGGUGCCCUGUUCCAAGCUGGAUGUGUGAAUCGUGGGUCCCAGAAGAACAGCUUAUAUGUGACUUUUCAAUCAUUACCUCUCUCCUUCCCUACUUUCCUAACUCCCUUACUCUUCCCCCACCCCACCGGCUGCCUUUUCGGGCUUUGGUCCUCACCGCCGACCACAGUUCCACGCCUUAUAAGAAUCAGCCACUAGAUGGCGCCCGCUGUUCAGAUUACAACGCUUUCCUUCGGGAGCUCCACGGGUCCUUGCUGAGAAGGCAGGGUCUGAAGUUGGCUUCUCCGCUCUGCCACCCUCUAUCUCAGUCUCUCACUUCUCUCCCCGUCUUCUCGCCCUAUCCUUACCCCAUUUAAAAUUUUGCCUUCUUCCAGCAGCACGUUUGCAUGCGUGAUUUUGAAGCAGAGGAAUCAAAGUGCGUAUGCGCGUGCGUGCGUGCGUGCGUGUUUGGUAUGGAAAGGCGGUGAGCCGGGAGGGAGAGGGAGUUUGCAGGUACCACCAGAACUUUGGCUGGCCUCUCUGAAGGCACAGAUUUAACUCCGGGCAAGAAAGAAGAUAAGGACACAGAAGCUGUGAGAGGAUAAGUCAUCUCCCAAAUAUCAUAUUGCAGUUUGGGAAACAUGCAAAGCCCUUCUGAGUACUCAACGGAAAAUUCUAUGUAUACUCAUAGAAGUGUUUGGAAUCCAAGAAGAAAGUGAACUUCCCAGG